GGUGGUGGAUGAAGGAGGGAAAGGAGGUAUUAAAAAGAAGGUGUUGUACCUCUAUGGAAACGUCACCUAUAGACUUUCAUUUGAGUCCCCUCCCACCAUCAGCACCAGUGAUGUUUCUUGUGACUGUGGUCUGAUCUGGGUCCUGGUGGUGUCCUCCAGAACUCUGUUUCUGGUCCUCAUCCCUGCUGCCUUCCUUAUUGGGAAUACUUAUGGAGUUAAUAAGGAGAAGAGGAAAAUCCGGGAGAGAAGAAGAGACCAGUCAUUCUCCAUGUCUGCAAUGAAUUGAACAACACUUCCACAUGUCCAGUGAGAUUACCAUGCAGGACCAGAUUAAUAACUUAUAGACUCUGGGAAAUUAUUUUUAUAGAUUCCCUGAUGAGGGAUGAUCUCAUUGUGGUGAAAUAUCUAAAG
rnacentral:lncRNA from 1 species